AUUGUAUUGAUAAACGGAAUAACCAUGUGCAAUCAAUAGAAUGUGACGGAUCUGUUGUAUUAUUGAUUUAUAUUCAAUGCGGAAAUGUUGUGUCUGUAGAUCUAAUCUCGGAUGAUUUCUACUAAAGUGUGGCAUUGUUGACAUCAGGUAAGACAAUAAUAUAGUUCAGCGAAAACAACGGAUAAGGCGAUAGUCACUUGGGUGGUGAAAAAUUUAAUCGUUAGCUUUCUAUAGAUUAUUGUUAGCUCUUCGCAAGUACGCAUCCAUGCUAAAUCUUACAAAUGAUAAAUGUAGACUAUCAAAAUAUAUCGAAAUGUUCCAUUUGUUAUUUGUAUACUCAGCAACACUUCAAUCAUAGAAGGUGUGGCUAUAAAUGGCGAUAUGUUGAAUACUCCAAAUCAAUUUAUCUUGUAGCAAAUCAUCCAGCGUAUGAAAGAUUAUCUUAUAACUUCAACCAAUGUCCAAAUACCCGUAUUAACCAAUGAGCUUUGUCCAAUCAUUUAGCCACCGACUAUCAUAUGUAAUAAGUGUUUCUGGUGGAAAUGGUAUUUUUUCUUCAAAACAAUCAUUGUUUUUUCAACUCUAUCAAUCCAAGAUCUAGAUAUGUUUGAAUCUAUUAUAUUUCUUAUAUUUUGUUUGAUAAAUUUCAAUUAGCAACCAACGUUUGAUCAAUUCCAUUCUUCUGCAAUUAUAAAGCCAAUGGCAUUGAUGCUACAUAUAAAGUGUCUGUAUGUCUCAUAAUGAUAUAUUUCUAUUGUCUUUUCAGCUUUUAAAUGCCAAAAAAGAUGAGUUUAUAUUAACCAAGCCACUGCACUAUCUAGUUUAUAGGUAUUAGUCAAUAUUACGACAGUAGUGCGGUGCCUCUAAUAACAAUCUUUGUUAACACAAGUCGUCCCGAGUUCUAUAAUAACACUUUUUUCUUACACCGGCCGCGGAUUAAAGACAGUUAAGAAGAACAAGUGGAUGGUCUCGUGUUUUAUAAUGGGGAUAAUUUUAUAAUAAUCACCGUCUUAUUGCUCUUGUUUUAUAUCACAGCCCUGAUAGUGGUGAGUGCCUCACAUAUAUGGAUACAUAGGAGACAAAGACAGAAUAUCGAAAAUACGGACGAAAACUUAGAAUUAGACAAGGAUAGUUUGUUAACAGCGUUCAAAGGGAUUACUGAUUUAUAUAUGAAUGAAAAAAGAAAUUGAUACCGUUAAAGGAAAAUUGGCAAUGCGUCAUUUGUCGACACGCUAUAUUGUAUUUCUAGUGUAAAAUAAAGGCAGCAUGUUGUUGUCAUUUUUUGUAGCAUUCUUUCUAAACUGAGUCUAAAGAAAACACCGUGGCAAAAGAGAAAAAAAAUCAAAAAUCAGUCAACAUCGAUGAAAAGGAAACAAC
rnacentral:lncRNA from 1 species